AUUGACAGCCAAGGAUGACGUCAUAUUUUGGAUUCCGCUACACAUGCUGAUAUAUUUUCUUGGUUGGAGGGAAUAGAGGUACAAUCACCAUGGCCACAGCUUCUCUCAGCCACUGUAAGAGACCAACUCCCAGCCUUACCUGAAUUGCUGUUUGCCUCCACUGGAAAACCAUACUGUUGUACAGGGUUCCUGCUGAGGUAAAUACCAAGUGUUGGAGAGGAGAUAACUUUCGACAGGGCAGCAAAGCAAACAGUUUUAAAUGAGAUAACCCUUCAAACAGAGAACACCUUCAGAUAGUUGGCUGUCUCUUGUAAAACAGGAAUGGAGCCACGCUACUCACACAUCAGAGGCAGUUAAGCUCUGACUGAAAUUGUGUUGGUUUAACUACACGGGUGGUAAUGCUGAUGAUAUCAUCAGUCCAUGAUGUUAUUAUUUACUUUAAGUUAAUUUAGAGAACCUUCAUGUUUCCAGCAUGGGACUUUAUUCACUGUAUAUUAUCACAUCAC
rnacentral:lncRNA from 1 species